AUAAGUUCAUCGAAAUGAUCAAACGAUAAAAUAAAUAUGGACGCAAAUUUUCAGUUCACAUACGUUGAAAUCCAUUCGAACACGGCUCGAGUGCACCUCGCGUUCCCGACCCCAGCGGAGUGGAUGAGCACAUUUUUGAGAUUAUUCGAGGACGUUUCAUUGAUACGUUACUGAUUAGCCUACCAAAGGAGCCUACCUCCGGCAACAGAGGGGAACAUCAGGCCAUAAGGGAAGACAUAUUAGGGAGGAUAUAUAAUCGACAUCAACUAAUAUCCCUUCAUUGUAUUCGUUCAACUGGGUACGACUAACAUCGCAUUUAGUUUUGAGCUUCAGAUAGAAUAUACACACCUCCUGCACUUCUCUAAGGACAUAUUAUUUCUCAUUAAGAUAUGACUCAAAUAUACCGGAUGAUACUUUCGGCAAGUUUGCUGUGUCCGUUACUGUUCCGGGAAAUAAGCGCAGCGGCGAUAUUCUUUCCUAAAUCUACGGAGACGCUUGACGAAACUAACCCUGAUGGACGGGACUUCCUGCAAUUCGAGAGCGACACCAAAACCAGUCUGAUUCCGAAAGAAGGAGGCUCAAGAGCGAGUUCCAUCAACAAACGACUAAUUUUUGAAGUUCUUAACGGACUUAGGCGUGAUUCACAGAAACUUAUGCAAAAGAUUGAUUCAAUGAAAUCGUUGCUUCAAAACCGAAACGCCUUUAGCGCGGCAUAUGGACUUGAUAAAAAAUCCGAAACGGAUUUUAUUUCCGAAAAUGACGUCACAGACACUGAAUUCGGAGUUCAAGACAAGAAACUUCGUCACAAACGCAGUGAAGACGCAGGUGGCUUGAAUUCUGAUGAAAUUAAAAUGGUUCCCGGCGACGAACAAGAGCGACAUGUCGAUUUAGACCUCAUUGAGUACACAAAAGGACGUCCGGAAUUAAAACGCGCCGUGGAAAAACACUUGAGUACUUUUUGAAUGACAUUAUGUUGUUGAUUAGCUAUGACAUUAACAGAAUUGCUAAAUAUUCCUCACAAAAUCAUCGACACAGCAGCAGCCAUCCGGAUUUAAGACCCAAAAGAGACCUGAGAUGGUUACUAAAGGACAUUAAUGCGCGACAAAUAAUACAAAGAUAUUUUUCGGAGAAAGACGAAAGUGAAAAUGGUCGGCCAAUUAUGCGUUAUGGCUAAACCACAUAGCAUUGGUGACUGUUUUUUUUAUUUUGAGGAAUAUUAGGGCGUUGAAGAAUCUCAUUUCCAUAUCAUUCUGGCAAUGAUAUAUUUGAUUUUGUUUUGUAAUUUUCGUAUUGUUUUCAUGUCGUGAUAGCGGAUUGCUUUAUGCAUUGAUAAUAAUAAAAUUCAAACACAU